AAGUCGUAACAAGGUUUCCGUAGGUGAACCUGCGGAAGGAUCAUUAUGCAUAUAUGGGACAAGAAAUUGUUCCCUGACCCAAAUCCUCCCUGCGUACCAAUCAAUGUUGCUUUCCCAGGUGGUUGGCCCCGGCAGCCACCCAAUACUGCCUGCUAGGCGAGUUAACCAGUGGUCUGAAUAUCACUUGGAGAACUCGAUCCUGUCCUGACAGAGUGAGCUCAAUAUGUCGGUGAGUUCAAUUUGUACCUGUCAGGAUGGGCUAUGCGGGUACCUGGGAGAGGGCUCAUCCAAAGCGAAUAAUUGAAUCAGCUGUCUGAGUUGGCCCAGUGCCGUAUUCUUUGAAUAAGCUAAAACUUUCAACAACGGAUCUCUUGGCUCUCGCAUCGAUGAAGAACGCAGCGAAAUGCGAUAAGUAAUGUGAAUUGCAGAAUUCAGUGAAUCAUCGAAUCUUUGAACGCACAUUGCGCCCCUUGGUAUUCCUUGGGGGCAUGCCUGUUCGAGCGUCACUGCAAACCCCCUCAUAGAAAUUAUGGUAUUGAUGGAAGUGAACUAAGCCUACCAAUUUGCUUANGUUANCCCAUCGAAAUGNAUANGCAGGACAAUCAACCUCCGCAAUGGACNUAGUAGCUGNUUUGAAGACAUGAAUCAGUCCUUUGCUAGGUUCUGGCCUGGCCUCCAUGGACCUCCAUCCAAAAUGAACUCUGGGUUGACCUCGGAUCAGGUAGGGAUACCCGCUGAACUUAAGCAUAUCAAUAAGCGGAGGAAAAGAAACCANCAGGGAUUGCCCUAGUAACGGCGAGUGAAGCGGCAAAAGCUCAAAUUUGAAAUCUGGCGCCUCUGGUGUCCGAGUUGUAAUUNNGAGAGGUNUCUUCCGGAGGGGUCCAGCCUAUGUUCCUNGGAACAGGACAUCACAGAGGGUGAGAAUCCCGUUCGUGGCUGGAUGUACCCUUUAGUAGGUAGUGCCUUCUACGAGUCGAGUUGUUUGGGAAUGCAGCUCAAAAUGGGUGGUAAAUUUCAUCUAAAGCUAAAUAUUGGCGAGAGACCGAUAGCGCACAAGUAGAGUGAUCGAAAGAUGAAAAGCACUUUGAAAAUAGGGUCAAACAGUACGUGAAAUUGUUGAAAGGGAAGCGCUUGAGACCAGACUCAGCCUUGGGCAAACAACUUCCCUUUUGGGUGGUGCACUUGCCCUUGGCUGGGCCAGCAUCAGUUAGGACGGUGGAAUAAAGGCUCGGGGAAUGUGACUCCGCUCAGGAGUGUUAUAGCCUCGGGUGCCAUCCCGCCUGUCCUGACUGUGGACCGCGCUUCGGCUAGGAUGCUGGCGUAAUGGUCUUUAGCGGCC
rnacentral:rRNA from 1 species